GAUGAACGCUGGCGGCGUGCCUAAUACAUGCAAGUCGAGCGAACAGACGAGGAGCUUGCUCCUCUGACGUUAGCGGCGGACGGGUGAGUAACACAUGGAUAACCUACCUAUAAGACUGGGAUAACUUCGGGAAACCGGAGCUAAUACCGGAUAAUAUAUUGAACCGCAUGGUUCAAUAGUGAAAGACGAUUUUGCUGUCACUUAUAGAUGGAUCCGCGCCGCAUUAGCUAGUUGGUAAGGUAACGGCUUACCAAGGCAACGAUGCGUAGCCGACCUGAGAGGGUGAUCGGCCACACUGGAACUGAGACACGGUCCAGACUCCUACGGGAGGCAGCAGUAGGGAAUCUUCCGCAAUGGGCGAAAGCCUGACGGAGCAACGCCGCGUGAGUGAUGAAGGUCUUCGGAUCGUAAAACUCUGUUAUUAGGGAAGAACAAAUGUGUAAGUAACUAUGCACGUCUUGACGGUACCUAAUCAGAAAGCCACGGCUAACUACGUG
rnacentral:rRNA from 1 species